rnacentral:rRNA from 1 species
AGCGAAUAGAUACCCGGGUAGUCCAUGCCGUAAACGUUGGGCACUAGGUGUGGGGGACAUUCCACGUUUUCCGCGCCGUAGCUAAACGCAUUAAGUGCCCCGCCUGGGGAGUACGGCCGCAAGGCUAAAACUCAAAGGAAUUGACGGGGGCCCGCACAAGCGGCGGAGCAUGCGGAUUAAUUCGAUGCAACGCGAAGAACCUUACCAAGGCUUGACAUGAACCGGAAAGACCUGGAAACAGGUCCCCACUUGUGGUCGGUUUACAGGUGGUGCAUGGUUGUCGUCAGCUCGUGUCGUGAGAUGUUGGGUUAAGUCCCGCAACGAGCGCAACCCUCGUUCUAUGUUGCCAGCACGUGAUGGUGGGGGACUCAUAGGAGACUGCCGGGGUCAACUCGGAGGAAGGUGGGGACGACGUCAAAUCAUCAUGCCCCUUAUGUCUUGGGCUUCACGCAUGCUACAAUGGCCGGUACAAAGGGUUGCGAUACUGUGAGGUGGAGCUAAUCCCAAAAAGCCGGUCUCAGUUCGGAUUGGGGUCUGCAACUCGACCCCA